GAUGAAGAACGCAGUGAACGUGCGAAACGUAAUGUGAAUUGCAGAAUUCAGUGAAUCAUCGAAUCUUUGAACGCACAUUGCGCCCUCUGGUAUUCCGGGGGGCAUGCCUGUUCGAGCGUCAUUUCAACCCUCAAGCUCUGCUUGGUAUUGGGUGUCACUGCUAGGUGCACCCUAAAAUCAGUGGCAGUGCCAUUUGGCUUCAAGCGCAGUAAAUAUCCUCGCUCUGGAGCCCGGUGUGUGCUUGCCAGCAACCCCUCCAUAUCAAAGGUUGACCUCGGAUCAGGUAGGGAUACCCGCUGAACUUAAGCAUAUCAAUAAGCGGAGGA
rnacentral:misc_RNA from 1 species